UACGGAGGGGGCUAGCGUUGUUCGGAAUAACUGGGCGUAAAGCGCACGUAGGCGGCUUUGUAAGUUAGAGGUGAAAGCCCGGGGCUCAACUCCGGAAUUGCCUUUAAGACUGCAUCGCUAGAAUUGUGGAGAGGUAAGUGGAAUUCCGAGUGUAGAGGUGAAAUUCGUAGAUAUUCGGAAGAACACCAGUGGCGAAGGCGACUUACUGGACACAUAUUGACGCUGAGGUGCGAAAGCGUGGGGAGCAAACAGG
rnacentral:rRNA from 1 species